GUACUCGAUUCAGCAGCACAUAUAUAAAACUGGAACCAUACAGAGAAGAUUAGCAUGGCCCCUGUGCAAGGAUGACACACAAAUUCACGAAGCAUAAAAAAAAAAA